UCACGGGUACUCAGCGCACCAUGAUGCCACAGCUUACAUCCAGCUGGGUCGUUGUUGUUGCUGUUGUUUUUAAGGUUAAUCAGGUCUUUAAUAAAAGACCAUGGAAAUGUCAGCAGUCUGAACAAACAAACCUGAAUUGUAACUGAACAUUCGUUCAAACAAAGAAAUAUAAACCCUGUUUUUAUUAAUGUUCUUCACACAGCUUUCUCUUUCAGGUACUGGUGGAAUGCAGCUAUCUAUGGAAAUAUUCUCUGUUCUGAAUACUGGAUGAUAAGACUGAUGACUGCCUAGUAACUACUGACCUAAAAUAUUCAUUGCACCUUGAAUCCUAUAUUCCAUCUUGCUAUU